GCCAACUGUGAUUUGAGACGGCAGAUUGAUGAACAGCAAAAGAUGCUAGAGAAAUACAAGGAACGAUUAAAUAGAUGUGUGACAAUGAGCAAGAAACUCCUUAUAGAAAAGGUCAGUGAAUAAUGUUGGUCUAAACUCUGUAUCCCAAGAUACUCAAUGUGUGUCAUUGUGUGGCUUCUUAUUCCUUACUUGAGAUGAAAAUAUUUAAAAGUAGAGCUUUUUAGGAACAUGAUUUGACAAUUAGAAUUUUUUCCUUACAUGGACACCAGACCAAGCAUCCAGAGUGUUAAUUCG
rnacentral:sRNA from 1 species